rnacentral:rRNA from 1 species
GACGAACGCUGGCGGCGUGCUUAACACAUGCAAGUCGAACGGAAAGGCCCUGCUUUUGUGGGGUGCUCGAGUGGCGAACGGGUGAGUAACACGUGAGUAACCUGCCCUUGACAUUGGGAUAACUUCAGGAAACUGGGGCUAAUACCGGAUAGGAGCUCCUGCUGCAUGGUGGGGGUUGGAAAGUUUCGGCGGUUGGGGAUGGACUCGCGGCUUAUCAGCUUGUUGGUGGGGUAGUGGCUUACCAAGGCUUUGACGGGUAGCCGGCCUGAGAGGGUGACCGGCCACAUUGGGACUGAGAUACGGCCCAGACUCCUACGGGAGGCAGCAGUGGGGAAUAUUGCACAAUGGGCGGAAGCCUGAUGCAGCAACGCCGCGUGCGGGAUGACGGCCUUCGGGUUGUAAACCGCGUUCGCCUGUGACGAAGCGUGAGUGACGGUAAUGGGUAAAGAAGCACCGGCUAACUACGUG